GUAAUUUCAUUGUGUAGUGUAUGGGGUUUCACAUUUUCCCUUUGGCCACAGCAUCAUUUCCCAAUUCAUGAAGAGCAACCAGGAGAUGACAACAAUUUCUGACUGCCACUAUUGCUAGGACUGGCACGGUUUCUGGAGACAUCACAUCAAUGGCAGGCCUCGGCAAAGCAAUCAAGAUUAUUUGAAUAAUGCUGAAACUUGUGCGCUAAUACAGAUGGGCAGAUCACUGAAGGCAACGAAGGACAGCCUUAUUCCUGUCACACGGGAGCAAAUUUCCUCAC